AUGCUUCCAGCUGGCCAGAUUCCUACCUGGAGGGAUUUCACUGAGGCUUUUCGCGAGCAUCACAUUCCCCAGGCCCUCCUUGAUCGCAAGAGAGAAGAGUUCUGUAGUUUCACCCAGAAUAAGAUGGCUGUUGAUGCUUACAGCAGAGAGUUCGAGAACCUUGCCCGCUAUGCCACAGAAGAAGUGUCCACGGACGCCAAGAAGCAGGCUAGGUUCCGGAAGGGUCUCAACCCCAAGUUGCGUCGUGAUCUCCACCUGCAUCAUUGUGAUACAUUCCAAGCCCUUGUGAACAAGGCCAUCAAUGCAGAGACAGCUCAGCUCACUUACGAGGAGUCUCGUAAGCACACCCGUGAUUUGGGAUCCUCCUCUGGCUCUAGUUCUCAGAAGCGCCGGAUUUGGGUUCCAAACUCCGCUCUUCCUUUCGGUUAUACAUCGAGGUCAUCUUAUGUAGUGCCUCACCCAGCUCAGUCGUAUGUUUCACCCAUGCCUACUGGUAGACCGCUUGUUAGUGCGGGUCCACGUCUAACCUCGGGAACUUGCUUCACAUGCGGGAAGCCAGGACACUAUGCACGUGACUGCUCUCAAGCUAGUUAUGCUCCACCCCAGCCCGAGAAGUAUGUUGGCUAUGUUAAGCCAUCGAGCAAGACGAUCAGUGCCAAGCCAGCUCGCACUGAACGUGGACGUGUGCAUCACGUCUCAGCUAAAGACGCUCAUGAUGAUCCGGAUGUCGUUCUUGGUACACUCCUUGUCAAUUGUCACCCAGCAUCAGUUCUAUUCGAUACUGGAGCAUCCCACUCCUUCAUUUCUGAAGGCUAUGCUCGUUUGCACGACAUGUCAUUUUGUGAUAUGCCAACUCCGCUUGAAAUCCAAACCCCAGGGUCUAGAUGGCAGACCACCAGAAUCAGCCAUGGUAAUGAAAUCCUUGUAGAUAGACUUGUAUUUCUUGCAUCACUUGUAGCCCUCAAGUCCUCAGAUAUUAACAUCAUCUUGGGUAUGGACUGGAUGACAGCUCAUCAUGCCAAGAUUGAUUGUUACUCCAGAUCUGUUCAGCUUACACACCCAUCUGGCAAGAUAGUCACUGUCUCCACUAGAGUUGCAAAGCGUCAGCUCUAUUCUCUUAAUGCCAGCCCUCUUCCAGACCUUGAAGAUAUCCCGGUAGUCCGUGACUUUUCGGAUGUCUUUCCAGAAGAACUGCCAGGUGUUCCACCUGACAGAGAUGUAGAGUUCGUCAUAGAUCUUAUCCCAGGAACUGCUCCAAUCUCCAGAAGACCUUACAAGAUGGCACCUUUAGAACUAGCCGAGCUUAAGAAACAACUUGAUGAGUCCUUGCAAAAGGGUUUCAUCCGUCCUAGUUCUUCUCCUUGGGCUUGCCCCGUCCUCUUUGUUAAGAAGAAGGAUGGUACGGACCGGAUGGUCGUAGAUUAUCGUCCCGUUAAUUUGGUCACGAUAAAGAACAAGUAUCCGCUCCCCAGGAUCAACGACCUGUAUGAUCAGCUCGCUGGAUCCUCAGUCUUCUCCAAGAUGGAUUUGAGGUUAGGAUACUACCAAAUUAAGAUCAGAAACGUGGACAUUCCCAAGACAGCUUUUGUCACUCGUUAUGGCCAGUACAAGUACACCGUCAUGUCCUUCGGCCUAACCAACGCCCCAGCCACAUUCUCCCGCUUGAUGAACUCGAUCUUCAUGGAGUACUUAGAUAAGUUCGUCGUGGUUUACCUCGAUGAUAUUCUUAUUUACUCGAAGAACGAGGAAGAGCAUGCCGAACAUCUUAGACUUGUGUUAGAAAAACUCAGAGAGCACCGCCUUUAUGCCAAGUUCUCCAAGUGUGAAUUUUGGUUGCCAGAAGUGACCUACUUAGGCCACGUAAUCUCUGGUAAGGGCAUUGCUGUCAACCCCGAGAGAGUUAAGGCCGUCCUUGAUUGGACUCCACCUGAAACCGUUAAACAAGUCAGGAGUUUCCUUGGUCUAGCCAGCUAUUGUCGCCGCUUUGUUGAAAAUUUCUCCAAAGUAGCCAAACCCCUCACGGAACUUCUCAAGAAAGAUAAAAAGUUCGAGUGGUCCCCACAGUGUGAGUACAGUUUUCAGGACCUGAAAAGACGCCUGACUUCUGCUCCCGUACUUGUGCCACCGGAUUUCACAAAGGACUUUGUUAUCUAUUGUGAAGCCUCACGACAGGGACUAGGUUGCAUUCUUAUGCAGGAUCGUCAUGUGAUUGCUUAUGCAUCUCGACAGUUGCAUCCACAUGAGGAUAAUUAUCCUACACAUGAUCUAGAGCUUGCAGCCGUAGUCUAUGCACUCAAGACCUGGCGACAUUACCUUCUUGGUAAACGUUGCGAGAUCUACACCGAUCACCAGAGUCUCAAGUAUAUCUUCACCCAACCGGAUCUGAACCUUAGGCAAAGACGUUGGUUGGAGUUAAUCACAGAUUAUGAUCUAGGGAUUACCUACACCCCAGGCAAAGCCAAUGUCAUGGCUGAUGCGCUAAGCCGUAAAUCCUAUUGCAACAAUCUCAUGUUGCAGCAAGGCCAACCACUUCUCCAUGAGGAAUUCUGUAAGCUUAAUCUUCACAUUGCUCCUCACGGAUUCCUUUCUACCUUGGUGGCGAAACCUACUCUUGUGGAUCAUAUCAUAGAAGCCCAGAAGCAUGAUACGGGGAUUACCCGGAUCAAGAGAAACAUUGCCAAAGGUGUUGCUGGUAGUUUCUCUGUUGAUGAUCGAGGUGUUGUUCUCUUUGGGAACCGCCUGGUGGUCCCCAAGAAGCAACAUCUUCGGCAGUUGAUUCUUAAGGAGGCGCAUGAAUCUCCUCUCAUGAUUCAUCCUGGUAGUACUGAGAUGUAUCAGGACCUACGCCAGAGGUUCUGGUGGAUUAGGAUGAAGAGAGAAAUCGCUCAGUUCAUUGCCAACUGUAGCGUUUGUCGUCGCGUUAAGGCAGAGCAUCAAAGACCUGCUGGCACCCUUCAGCCUUUAGCUAUUCCUGAAUGGAAAUGGGAUAAAGUUGGUAUGGACUUCAUCACCGGCUUUCCCAGGACCAAGAGAGGGAAUAAUGCUAUCUUCGUAGUCGUUGAUCGUCUCUCCAAAGUGGCGCACUUCCUACCUGUUCGAGAGAGUAUCACCGCUAGUCAGCUCGCUGACUUAUAUAUCUCCCGAAUAGUAUCACUUCAUGGUGUUCCACUAGAGAUCAAUUCAGACCGUGGCAGUCUUUUCACUUCUCAUUUUUGGGAGAGUUUCCAAACUGCCAUGGGAACCCAUCUUUCCUUCAGUACCGCUUUCCACCCUCAGUCGAGUGGUCAGGUGGAACGCGUCAACCAAAUUCUCGAAGACAUGCUUAGAGCUUGCGUUAUCUCAUUCGGUAUGGAUUGGGAGAAAUGUCUUCCUUUUGCCGAGUUUGCUUAUAACAAUAGCUAUCAAUCCAGCCUCAAGAAAGCUCCUUUUGAGGUUCUCUAUGGACGAAGAUGUCGAACACCUUUGAACUGGUCAGAAACCGGUGAAAGACAAUUCUUUGGACCGGACAUGAUCCAGGAGGCAGAAGAGCAAGUUCGCAUCAUUCGUGAGAAUCUGGAAACAGCCCAGUCUCGUCAAAAGAGUCAGCAUGAUCGUCAUCAUAGGGAUAUGACUUAUGAAAUUGGCGACAAAGCUUACCCUCGGGUUACUCCUUUGAAGGGCACCCAUCGUUUCGAUAUCAAGGGCAGGUUGGCUCCUCGUUACAUUGGCCCCUUUCGCAUUCUCGCUAAACGAGGAGAGGUUGCCUACCAGUUGGAACUACCCCCACAUCUUUCUCGAGUUCAUGAUGUCUUCCACGUCUCUCAACUCAGGCGUUGCUUCUCAGAUCCUAUCCGCGGAGUGGACCACGAAACACUUGAUCUUCAAGAUAACCUCACAUACCGAGAGUACCCGGUUCGCAUUCUUGAUCAAGCAGAGCGUGUUACUCGACGUCAUAACAUCAAGUUUCUCAAGGUUCAGUGGUCUCAUCAUUCCAAGAGAGAAGCUACUUGGGAGCGAGAAGAUCGUCUUCGACUGGAGUAUCCCACUUUCUUUCCGUCGACCCCUGAAUCUCGGGACGAGAUUCUUUCAAGUGGGGGCGAGUUGUCACAUCCCUAG
rnacentral:rRNA from 1 species